rnacentral:snRNA from 1 species
CAGUGAUUUCAGCUCUUUUAGUAUUUGUCCAGCAUUCCCGCCGCGCGGGAAGCCCCA